rnacentral:rRNA from 1 species
AACGUAGGUGGCGAGCGUUAUCCGGAUUUACUGGGCGUAAAGCGUGUGCAGGCGGGGACCCAAGUGGGGUAUAAAAUUUCUCAGCUAAACUGGGAGCGGUUAUGCCAGACUGGUUUUCUGGAGUGCGAGAGAGGGGCGUGGAAUUCCGGGUGUAGUGGCGAAAUGCGUAGAGAUCCGGAGGAACCCCAGAGGCGAAGGCGGCUCUCUGGAACGGUACUGACGCUGAGACGCGAAAGCGUGGGGAGCGAACAGG